AACGAACGUUGGCGGCGUGCUUAACACAUGCAAGUCGAACGAGAAAGCUCCUUCGGGAGUGAGUAAAGUGGCGCACGGGUGAGUAACACUUAGGUAAUCUACCUUUUAGCCUGGAACAACAUCGGGAAACCGGUGCUAAUUCCGGAUAUCUCAUUGAUUCAUGAAGUUUCGAUGAUGAAAGAUGGCCUCUACUUGUAAGCUAUCACUAAAUGAGGAGCCUGAGUCCCAUCAGCUUGUUGGUAAGGUAAAAGCUUACCAAGGCUAUGACGGGUAGCUGGUCUGAGAGGAUGAUCAGCCACACUGGAACUGAAACACGGUCCAG
rnacentral:rRNA from 1 species